rnacentral:rRNA from 1 species
AUACAGAGGGUGCGAGCGUUAAUCGGAAUUACUGGGCGUAAAGCGUACGUAGGCGGUUCGUUAAGUUAGAUGUGAAAGCCCCGGGCUUAACCUGGGAACUGCAUUUAAAACUGGCGGACUAGAGUUGAGUAGAGGGGAGUGGAAUUUCAGGUGUAGCGGUGAAAUGCGUAGAGAUCUGAAGGAACACCAGUGGUGAAGGCGACUCCCUGGACUCGAACUGACGCUGAGGUACGAAAGCGUGGGUAGCAAACGGGAUUAGAAACCCCAGUAGUCC